rnacentral:rRNA from 1 species
UACAGGGGGUGCAAACGUUGCUCGGAAUUAUUGGGCGUAAAGCGCGCGUAGGCGGCUACCUAAGUCGGAUGUGAAAGCCCCUGGCUUAACUGGGGAAGUGCACCCGAAACUGGGUAGCUAGAGUGCAAAAGAGGGUCGCGGAAUUCCCGGUGUAGAGGUGAAAUUCGUAGAUAUCAGGAAGAACACCGAUGGCGAAGGCAGUGGGCUGGGCCGGUACUGACGCUGAGGAGCGAAAGCGUGGGGAGCGAACAGG